GGCACCACAUCAGCUAUCAUCAUCAGCUUAUGAGCCAUCCGCAGACCCUUCGACUUCUUCACAGCCCACCUCAGGUCAUGUUAGUUCUUCAUCAACCUCGACUAGGCGUCGGUAGAGGAUGUGCCAAGGGCAUUAAAGAGUGGGGUACUGGUAAAAAGCUGG